GCCGGGCAUGGUGGUGCGUGCCUGUAAUCCCGGCUACUCGGGAGGCUGAGACAUGAGAAUCUCUUGAGCCCGGGAGGCGGAGGUUGCGGUGAGCUGAGAUGGAGCCACUGCACUUCAGCCUGGGUGACAGAGUGAGACUUUGUCUCAC
ensembl:misc_RNA Metazoa_SRP Metazoan signal recognition particle RNA